UUGGUGACCAGCGGAGGGAUCAUUACCGAGUUUACAACUCCCAAACCCAAUGUGAACGUUACCAAACUGUUGCCUCGGCGGGAUCUCUGCCCCGGGUGCGUCGCAGCCCCGGACCAAGGCGCCCGCCGGAGGACCAACCAAAACUCUUAUUGUAUACCCCCUCGCGGGUUUUUUUUAUAAUCUGAGCCUUCUCGGCGCCUCUCGUAGGCGUUUCGAAAAUGAAUCAAAACUUUCAACAACGGAUCUCUUGGUUCUGGCAUCGAUGAAGAACGCAGCGAAAUGCGAUAAGUAAUGUGAAUUGCAGAAUUCAGUGAAUCAUCGAAUCUUUGAACGCACAUUGCGCCCGCCAGUAUUCUGGCGGGCAUGCCUGUCCGAGCGUCAUUUCAACCCUCGAACCCCUCCGGGGGGUCGGCGUUGGGGAUCGGCCCUGCCUUGGCGGUGGCCGUCUCCGAAAUACAGUGGCGGUCUCGCCGCAGCCUCUCCUGCGCAGUAGUUUGCACACUCGCAUCGGGAGCGCGGCGCGUCCACAGCCGUUAAACACCCAACUUCUGAAAUGUUGACCUCGGAUCAGGUAGGAAUACCCGCUGAACUUAAGCAUAUCAAUA
rnacentral:rRNA from 1 species